rfam:Glycine soja cultivar W05 scaffold4421_17, whole genome shotgun sequence.
GCUUAAUUUGACUCAACACAGAAAAACUUAUCAGGUCCAGACAUAAUAAGGAUUGAUAGACUGAGAGCUCUUUCUUGACUCUAUGGGUGGUGGUGCAUGACCGUUCUUAGUUGGUGGAAUGAUUUGUCUGAUUAAUUCUGUUAACGAACGAGACCUCAGGCUGCUAAAUAGUUAUGUGGAGGCAUUAUAUUAUAUGUUAUGCUUUAAAUAGUUUAUUAUAUUUUCAUUACUAUUAUUAGUUACUUUUAUAUUAUAUGUUAUGCUUUAAAUAGUUUAUUAUAUUUUUAUAACUGCUAC